rnacentral:rRNA from 1 species
ACGGGAGGCAGCAGUGAGGAAUAUUGGUCAAUGGGCGCAGGCCUGAACCAGCCAAGUCGCGUGAGGGAUGACGGUCCUACGGAUUGUAAACCUCUUUUGCCGGGGAGUAAUGUGCGGGACGUGUCCCGUAUUGAGAGUACCCGUAGAAAAAGCAUCGGCUAACUCCGUGCCAGCAGCCGCGGUAAUACGGAGGAUGCGAGCGUUAUCCGGAUUUAUUGGGUUUAAAGGGUGCGCAGGCGGCGCGUCAAGUCAGCGGUCAAAGCCCGGGGCUCAACCUCGGUUCGCCGUUGAAACUGCCGUGCUCGAGUGCGUGCGAGGAGAGCGGAAUGCGUGGUGUAGCGGUGAAAUGCAUAGAUAUCACGCAGAACGCCGAUUGCGAAGGCAGCCCUCCAGCACUGGACUGACGCUGAGGCACGAAAGCGUGGGUAUCGAACAGGAUUAGAUACCCUGGUA